CUCCCUGCCCGGCUGCCACCCGAGCCCGGGGGACAGCGGGAGCUGCCUGGUCCCCGCCCGGGGCAUUCCCCGGACAGUUGGCACGGACGGCUCGUUCCUCUUGGCGCGCGUCCAAGCUCGCGCCAGGCUCGCUCGGUUGGAGGAGGGUGUAAAGCGGAAAGCCCGCCCUGGGCACUGUCCGCUCCACGGGGCCGGGGCAGGUCAGACAAUGCCCCGCCGCGCGCAGCCUCGCCCGCCUGCCUGCCGGUCGGUGGCGGCGGAGAUGGGGCUCGGGUGCUGCCUUGGGGUUGGAGCAGGACAUUUCUAUAAAAGCAAGGCAUAUUUUUUUGGACAAGACAGUAACCAAUCCCUGGAGAUACAGAGAAGAAGAUUGAAUCAAGAAAAAUAAGGGACAACAAAGAUGCCUGAAAGCAGCUGCAAAUGUUUCAAGCCUCCCUCCUCCGUCCCAAAGGCCAUCUCAGAUAAGGCGGCGAAAAAAACGCACCCGCGAUGAAAUGUUCUCUGAGUUCAUGCAGUCAUCUGGCACUGACAGAGCUCAGCAGAAUGUGUGGAGGGACACAAUAGCAGAGUACAGGAAAGUGGCCGAUGAACGUGAUGAGAGGUGGUGGCAGGAAGAUCAGAGGAGGCAUGAGGCAACGCUGGGGCUACUGCAGGAUCAAACAGACAUGCUCCAGCGUCUGGUGGAGGUUCAUGAAUGGCGGCAGGAUCACAGACUGCCGCUGCAGACCCUGCUUAACUGCCCUCCCUCCUCUCCAAGUUCCAUAGCCUCCUCACCCAGACGCCCAAGAACACAGGGGCGGGGGAGGAGGCUCCAGGCACCCAACCACUCCACCCCAGUGGACAGCCCAAGCAACAGAAGGCUGUCAUUCAAGAAGUUUUAAAGUGGCCUUUUCCUUCCCUCCUACCACACCCGACCCGGGCUACCUUGUGAGUUAUCUCCCUAUUUUUAUAAUAAAUUAAUAAAGAAUACAUGUUUUU